rnacentral:rRNA from 1 species
GACGAACCGUGCGAACGUUGUUCGGAAUCACUGGGCUUAAAGGGCGCGUAGGCGGGUGGCCGCGUCCGCGGUGAAAUCCCCCGGCUCAACCGGGGAAGGGCCGCGGGUACGGGCGACCUCGAGGCGGGUAGGGGCGUGCGGAACACUGGGUGGAGCGGUGAAAUGCGUUGAUAUCCAGUGGAACUCCGGUGGCGAAGGCGGCACGCUGGACCCGAUCUGACGCUGAGGCGCGAAAGCCAGGGGAGCGAACGGG